rnacentral:rRNA from 2 species
AAAUUGAAGAGUUUGAUCAUGGCUCAGAUUGAACGCUGGCGGCAGGCCUAACACAUGCAAGUCGAACGGUAACAGGAAGCAGCUUGCUGCUUUGCUGACGAGUGGCGGACGGGUGAGUAAUGUCUGGGAAACUGCCUGAUGGAGGGGGAUAACUACUGGAAACGGUGGCUAAUACCGCAUAACGUCGCAAGACCAAAGAGGGGGACCUUCGGGCCUCUUGCCAUCAGAUGUGCCCAGAUGGGAUUAGCUUGUUGGUGAGGUAACGGCUCACCAAGGCGACGAUCCCUAGCUGGUCUGAGAGGAUGACCAGCCACACUGGAACUGAGACACGGUCCAGACUCCUACGGGAGGCAGCAGUGGGGAAUAUUGCACAAUGGGCGCAAGCCUGAUGCAGCCAUGCCGCGUGUAUGAAGAAGGCCUUAGGGUUGUAAAGUACUUUCAGCGGGGAGGAAGGUGUUGCGGUUAAUAACCGCAGCAAUUGACGUUACCC